GGGGAAUUUUCCGCAAUGGGCGAAAGCCUGACGGAGCAAUACCGCGUGAGGGAGGAAGGCUCUUGGGUUGUAAACCUCUUUUCUCAGGGAAGAAAAAAAUGACGGUACCUGAGGAAUAAGCAUCGGCUAACUCCGUGCCAGCAGCCGCGGUAAUACGGAGGAUGCAAGCGUUAUCCGGAAUGAUUGGGCGUAAAGGGUCCGCAGGUGGCAUUGUAAGUCUGCUGUUAAAGAGUUUGGCUCAACCAAAUAAAAGCAGUGGAAACUACAAAGCUAGAGUUUGGUCGGGGCAGAGGGAAUUCCUGGUGUAGCGGUGAAAUGCGUAGAUAUCAGGAAGAAC
rnacentral:rRNA from 1 species